CACGUAGGGGGCAAGCGUUGUCCGGAUUUAUUGGGCGUAAAGAGCUCGUAGGUGGCUUAGUAAGUCGGGUGUGAAACCUCCAGGCUCAACCUGGAGACGCCACCCGAUACUGCUAUAGCUUGAGUCCGGUAGGGGAGCGUGGAAUUCCUGGUGUAGCGGUGAAAUGCGCAGAUAUCAGGAGGAACACCGGUGGCGAAGGCGGGUCUCUGGGCCGAUACUGACGCUGAGGAGCGAAAGCGUGGGGAGCGAACAGG
rnacentral:rRNA from 1 species